AUUGAACGCUGGCGGCAGGCCUAACACAUGCAAGUCGAGCGGAGCGGCGGACGGGUGAGGAAUGCCUAGGAAUCUGCCUGGUAGCGGGGGAUAACGUCCGGAAACGGGCGCUAAUACCGCAUACUAUCAGAUGAGGCUAGGCCGGAGUAGCGUGUUGGUGGGGUAAAGGCCUACCAAGGCGACGAUCCGUAACUGGUCUGGGAGGAUGAUCAGUCACACUGGAACUGAGACACGGUCCAGACUCCUACGGGAGGCAGCAGUGGGGAAUAUUGGACAAUGGGCGAAAGCCUGAUCCAGCCAUGCCGCGUGUGUGAAGAAGGUCUUCGGAUUGUAAAGCACUUUAAGUUGGGAGGCGUUACCAACAGAAUAAGCACCGGCUAACUUCGUGCCAGCAGCCGCGGUAAUUC
rnacentral:rRNA from 1 species